AUUGAACGCUGGCGGCAGGCCUAACACAUGCAAGUCGAGCGGAUGAAGGGAGCUUGCUCCUGGAUUCAGCGGCGGACGGGUGAGUAAUGCCUAGGAAUCUGCCUGGUAGUGGGGGAUAACGUCCGGAAAAGGGCGCUAAUACCGCAUACGUCCUGAGGGAGAAAGUGGGGGAUCUUCGGACCUCACGCUAUCAGAUGAGCCUAGGUCGGAUUAGCUAGUUGGUGGGGUAAAGGCCUACCAAGGCGACGAUCCGUAACUGGUCUGAGAGGAUGAUCAGUCACACUGGAACUGGGACACGGUCCAGGCUCCUACGGGAGGCAGCAGUGGGGAAUAUUGGACAAUGGGCGAAAGCCUGAUCCAGCCAUGCCGCGUGUGUGAAGAAGGUCUUCGGAUUGUAAAGCACUUUAAGUUGGGAGGAAGGGCAGUAAGUUAAUACCUUGCUGUUUUGACGUUACCAACAGAAUAAGCACCGGCUAACUUCGUG
rnacentral:rRNA from 1 species